GAUUGAUAAAGCAAAGGGAAUCAAAUGGUCAAAAAGGAUACAGUUUUUACUUUUCGAAUGACAGAGAAGGCACCAUGAGUAUUAUAAUGCUUCAUGCGACGACCUGUGUUGUUCUGCUUACAGUGGCUUGGGGACUACCAUUUGUCUCUCAAGACGAAGAUAAUGAAUUUUUAGGACUUAAGAGGCUACCUUACCCAGCCAAUUGGCAUGCAGUUACAGUGUCUGAACAGGUACUGACCUUUUCUAACAUCUUUAAAACCUAUAUUUAUUACUCAAUUUCCAAUUCACCUUUUCCCUGGGGGAACUUAUGCUGGCCUAAAACCUUGUGAUGAAGAUUUGACCAGAGGAAAAAUGACUCAUCUAAAGUAACGCAGACUGAGUGGGGUUUGAAACACAACACCAUAUUUCCAUUCACAAUCAAAGAUUUUACUUGAGAUAAUAACAUGAUGAUUUAAAAAAAGAUUCAUUAUAAGGAGUUUGGAUCUACUUGAUUUUUCUCUUCAACGAAUCAUUCAGAAAUAUCAAAAUUAUAAUCCUUUUAGGAAGAAUUGGAAAAACAUUUCAGAACUAUCAGUCUGAGGAUCAUGGUUUAUAACCAUAACUCAACUGGGAUGGGCCUGGUACCAAGGAAUUUAGUGCUAAAUUCUGAUGUUUUUGUUUAAAUAGUUAAUGCUUUUCGUGUGUAAGAGCGACUUCUCCAGUCUUAAGCUGUGCAAAUAACAACAACAACAACAACAACAACAACAAUAAUAAUUAACAACAACAGUAACAGUAACAACAACUUUCAGUAAUUGAGUAGGAAAUGACACAAAUGGAUUUCUAGCUAAGAAAUCAGAAAUUCAGAAUAUUGUGCAAUCUAAUUUUGGGAAUGUGAAGUCUAAUUGUUUUUGUUUUUGUUUUUUAAAUACAAUGAAGAGUAAUUUGUUAUCCUUCUCACCCCUGUAAUUUUUUAUUUGUUUCUCAAUGGCAUCUUACAUUAAGAAAUAGUCCCCCCCCCCCCCCCCCCCCCCCCCCCCCACAAUACAGCAAUUAUAGAAAUAUCUUUCUGGGGAUGAAAUAUUAAGAAGCAUGUUACCCAGAACGAAAAGUAGAGUUAGCCUCUCCUGCCCCAGAGUGGAACAAAUGAAUUAAAAGUACAUGGAAGUAGAAUCAGAGUAGAAGUCAGGAGAAAGUUCCUGAUUGUAUGAGUUGUCAACCAGAAGAAAAUAUCGUCACAUUUGCUUUUCAUGGAGACAGACAUGUAAUGGCCAUUGAUCAGAAAUGCUAUAUUUAUUCAUUCAAUUCAAUAUUGUAGGGAAUUUUCCUGAGCAUGGAGGUCAGAGUAGAAAU
rnacentral:lncRNA from 1 species